rnacentral:rRNA from 1 species
UAGAGUUUGAUCCUGGCUCAGGAUGAACGCUAGCGACAGGCUUAACACAUGCAAGUCGAGGGGCAGCACAGGUAGCAAUACCGGGUGGCGACCGGCGCACGGGUGAGUAACGCGUAUGCAACUUACCUAUCAGAGGGGGAUAACCCGGCGAAAGUCGGACUAAUACCGCAUGAAGCAGGGGCCCCGCAUGGGGAUAUUUGCUAAAGAUUCAUCGCUGAUAGAUAGGCAUGCGUUCCAUUAGGCAGUUGGCGGGGUAACGGCCCACCAAACCGACGAUGGAUAGGGGUUCUGAGAGGAAGGUCCCCCACAUUGGAACUGAGACACGGUCCAAACUCCUACGGGAGGCAGCAGUGAGGAAUAUUGGUCAAUGGACGAGAGUCUGAACCAGCCAAGUAGCGUGAAGGAUGACUGCCCUAUGGGUUGUAAACUUCUUUUAUACGGGAAUAAAGUGGAGUAUGCAUACUCCUUUGUAUGUACCGUAUGAAUAAGGAUCGGCUAACUCCGUGCCAGCAGCCGCGGUAAUACGGAGGAUCCGAGCGUUAUCCGGAUUUAUUGGGUUUAAAGGGAGCGUAGAUGGAUGUUUAAGUCAGUUGUGAAAGUUUGCGGCUCAACCGUAAAAUUGCAGUUGAUACUGGAUAUCUUGAGUGCAGUUGAGGCAGGCGGAAUUCGUGGUGUAGCGGUGAAAUGCUUAGAUAUCACGAAGAACUCCGAUUGCGAAGGCAGCCUGCUAAGCUGCAACUGACAUUGAGGCUCGAAAGUGUGGGUAUCAAACAGGAUUAGAUACCCUGGUAGUCCACACGGUAAACGAUGAAUACUCGCUGUUUGCGAUAUACGGCAAGCGGCCAAGCGAAAGCGUUAAGUAUUCCACCUGGGGGGUACGCCGGCAACGGUGAAACUCAAAGGAAUUGACGGGGGCCCGCACAAGCGGAGGAACAUGUGGUUUAAUUCGAUGAUACGCGAGGAACCUUACCCGGGCUUAAAUUGCAGAUGAAUUACGGUGAAAGCCGUAAGCCACAAGGCAUCUGUGAAGGUGCUGCAUGGUUGUCGUCAGCUCGUGCCGUGAGGUGUCGGCUUAAGUGCCAUAACGAGCGCAACCCUUGUUGUCAGUUACUAACAGGUUCCGCUGAGGACUCUGACAAGACUGCCAUCGUAAGAUGUGAGGAAGGUGGGGAUGACGUCAAAUCAGCACGGCCCUUACGUCCGGGGCUACACACGUGUUACAAUGGGGGGUACAGAGGGCCGCUACCACGCGAGUGGAUGCCAAUCCCAAAAACCUCUCUCAGUUCGGACUGGAGUCUGCAACCCGACUCCACGAAGCUGGAUUCGCUAGUAAUCGCGCAUCAGCCACGGCGCGGUGAAUACGUUCCCGGGCCUUGCACUCACCGCCCGUCA